rnacentral:rRNA from 1 species
AGCUCCAGUAGCGUAUAUUAAAGUUGUUGCAGUUAAAAAGCUCGUAGUUGGAUUUCUGGUACGCUGCGCCUAGCCCGGCUUCGGUUGAGUGCUGGUGCGCGGUUGCCAUCCUUCUAGAGAACACGGCUUCCCUUCAUUGUGGCAGGACGUGGAAUCUAGAUCAUUUACUUUGAAAAAAUUAGAGUGUUUAAAGCAGGCUUGUGCUAUGAAUACAUUAGCAUGGAAUAAUAAUAUAGGACUUUGGUUCUAUUUUGUUGGUUUCUAGGACUAAAGUAAUGAUUGAUAGGGAUAGUUGGGGGUGCUAGUAUUCAGCGGCCAGAGGUGAAAUUCUUGGAUUCGCUGAAGACUAACUUAUGCGAAAGCAUUCACCAAGGAUGUCUUCUUUAAUCAAGAACGAAAG